rfam:Otolemur garnettii contig074064, whole genome shotgun sequence.
GGGAGAAAACUCUCUUUAGUCUAAAGGUGUAAAGAGGCACAAGCUAUGAUAUAGUGAUACUCAAACAUUCCUCAAAUACUUUUCUGUAAAACCAUAUGUCCCUGUGUCCCCAGACCUAAUUCUUUCCCUAGGUUUAGUUUUUUAAAUGCUGGUGAUAAAC